rnacentral:misc_RNA from 1 species
UACGUAGGUGGCGAGCGUUGUCCGGAUUUAUUGGGUUUAAAGGGUGCGUAGGCGGCCUUGUAAGUCAGUGCUGAAAUACCCCGGCUUAACCGGGGGGGUGGCAUUGAUACUGCAGGGCUUGAGUACAGACGAGGUAGGCGGAAUUGACGGUGUAGCGGUGAAAUGCAUAGAUAUCGUCAAGAACACCUAUAGCGAAGGCAGCUUACUAGGCUGUAACUGACGCUGAGGCACGAAAGGGUGGGGAUCAAACAGG